GGAAGGCUUGCCUAGCUAGAGAAGAAGGAUUUAAAAAUCCAUAUCUGAUAUCCCAAGCAAAACCUGCUGGCUGAGUGGUGGAGAAGAAGCAGUAGUGGUAGUGUGAUAAUUUGUUGACAGUUAUUUUUGCAGUGUUCUUGGUUGCAUUAGCUGCCACAGCCUCCUCUUGUGGGUGUCUGUCCGUACUGUGAGUGUCCGUCUGGGAAUGUGUGGAUACUGCUGAGCUAUCACGUGYGUCCACUCACAUUGCUCGAGCCAGCUUCCAAGUCGAUGCUUUUGGAUCAUCCUUCAUCCUGGAUGUAACACUAAACCAUAUAAGCAUCCAUGGAAUGAAGCAGGCACGUGCUGGACAAUCCCGGUUUGGUUGUUGCCUUCGGCAGAGAUUUCCUGUGGGGCGCUAGUGAGGCCACCAUGGACUCCAGCAAACACCUCUUCUCUUUGGGUGCCCGUUGUGAGCAGGAAGCUCAGGAGCAGCUUCCCAAAACUCCUCUGGAGUUGUCAUAGCUGCAGUGAAAACUGGGCAGGCAACAUCUGAAAUGGGUUAUGAUGAUAAAUACGUUUAUACAAUUUAUGGUUCUAAAGUGUUUCAAAUUGGGCACCCAAAGCACAGAGCUACUUUGGCAGUGUCUCAGGAUUGAGGAGAAUGUUUUUCGGAAUAUCAUAGAAUUGCCCUAUAUCAGAAUGCCCAUGCCUAUGCCCAGAAUAUCAUAGAAAUGUAGAAUAUCAUAGAAAUACAUGUAAAUGAAAAAUUGGUAUGUUUGUUGCAGAGUAAUAUGAUAUAUAUUGAUAUAUAUGA